rnacentral:rRNA from 1 species
UACGAAGGGGGCUAGCGUUGCUCGGAAUUACUGGGCGUAAAGCGCACGUAGGCGGUCUUUUAAGUCGGGGGUGAAAUCCUGGAGCUCAACUCCAGAACUGCCUUCGAUACUGCGAGUCUUGAGUCCGGAAGAGGUGAGUGGAACUCCUAGUGUAGAGGUGGAAUUCGUAGAUAUUAGGAAGAACACCAGAGGCGAAGGCGGCUCACUGUCCGGUACUGACGCUGAGGUGCGAAAGCGUGGGG